rnacentral:rRNA from 1 species
UGAGGAAUAUUGGUCAAUGGAGGCAACUCUGAACCAGCCAUGCCGCGUGCAGGAAGACUGCCCUAUGGGUUGUAAACUGCUUUUAUACGGGAAGAAACAACUCUACGUGUAGAGUCUUGACGGUACCGUAAGAAUAAGCACCGGCUAACUCCGUGCCAGCAGCCGCGGUAAUACGGAGGGUGCAAGCGUUAUCCGGAAUCAUUGGGUUUAAAGGGUCCGCAGGCGGUCGAUUAAGUCAGAGGUGAAAUCCCAUAGCUUAACUAUGGAACUGCCUUUGAUACUGGUUGACUUGAGUUAUACGGAAGUAGGUAGAAUAAGUAGUGUAGCGGUGAAAUGCAUAGAUAUUACUUAGAAUACCGAUUGCGAAGGCAGCCUACUACGUAUAUACUGACGCUCAUGGACGAAAGCGUGGGGAGCGAACAGG